rnacentral:rRNA from 1 species
UACGAAGGGGGCUAGCGUUGCUCGGAUUGACUGGGCGUAAAGGGCGCGUAGGCGGUUUGUACAGUUGGGCGUGAAAUUCCUGGGCUUAACCUGGGAGCUGCGUUCAAUACGUGCAGGCUUGAGUUCGGAAGAGGGUCGUGGAAUUCCCAGUGUAGAGGUGAAAUUCGUAGAUAUUGGGAAGAACACCGGUGGCGAAGGCGGCGACCUGGUCCGAUACUGACGCUGAGGCGCGAAAGCGUGGGGAGCAAACAGG